CCUACGGGUGGCAGCAGUGGGGGAUAUUGCACAAUGGGGGCAACCCUGAUGCAGCGACGCCGCGUGAGCGAUGGAGUACUUCGGUAUGUAAAGCUCUGUCAGCAGGGAAGAGAAUGACGGUACCUGACCAAGAAGCACCGGCUAAAUACGUGCCAGCAGCCGCGGGAAUACGUAUGGGGCAAGCGUUAUCCGGAUUUACUGGGUGGAAAGGAAGCGUAGGCGGCAGGGCAAGCCAGAUGUGAAAGCCCGGGGCUCAACCCCGGGACUGAAUUGGGAACUGCCCCGCUCGAGUGCCGGAGGGGCAGGCGGAAUUCCUAGUGUAGCGGUGAAAGGCGUAGAUAUCAGGAGGAACACCGGCGGCGAAGGCGGCUUACUGGACUGUAACUGACGUUGAGGCGCGAAGGCGUGGGGAGCAAACAGGAUUAGAUACCCUUGUAGUC
rnacentral:rRNA from 1 species